GUUUGGACUCAGUGCUCCCAGCUGGAGUCAUGGUUCCUACUUAUUUGAAUGAUAACGAUCGCACCUCUUGGUCAUCAUGCUGGCAACCCACAUGGAUAAGUUUGUACCUAGAUCAAAACCCCUAGGAAAAAAGAUGUGAGGACGCAGAUUACUGAGGACUGCUACAAUCAAGUUUUAAAACUCCGUGGUCUUUCCUUGAACCUGGAGCUAGGCCAGCAGCUACGAAGUCUCAGGGAUCCUUCUGCCUUUACCCACUAACAACAGUGGAGGUAGGUGUACCUGUACGGCUACAUCUAGCUUUUAUAAUGUGUGUACUGGAUUCGAACUUAGGUCCUCAUCCCUGCACAGCAAGUACCCCCCACCCACUGAACCACCCCACAGCUGUUUUCUAGUACUUGCGGUCCCUCUGUACUUUGGUUGUGUCUGAAUUAUUAUACACACUGCAGACAGACUUUAUGACUAUAUAUCCUUG
ensembl:lncRNA